rnacentral:rRNA from 1 species
UACGUAGGGUGCAAGCGUUGUCCGGAAUUAUUGGGCGUAAAGAGCUUGUAGGCGGUUUGUCGCGUCUGCUGUGAAAUUUCGGGGCUCAACCCCGAACUUGCAGUGGGUACGGGCAGACUAGAGUGUGGUAGGGGAGACUGGAAUUCCUGGUGUAGCGGUGAAAUGCGCAGAUAUCAGGAGGAACACCGAUGGCGAAGGCAGGUCUCUGGAACGGUACUGACGCUGAGACGCGAAAGCGUGGGGAGCGAACAGG